AACGCUUCUUUCCUCCCGGAGUGCUUGCACUCAACUGGAAAGAGGAGUGGCGGACGGGUGAGUAACACGUGGGUAACCUACCCAUCAGAGGGGGAUAACACUUGGAAACAGGUGCUAAUACCGCAUAACAGUUUAUGCCGCAUGGCAUAAGAGUGAAAGGCGCUUUCGGGUGUCGCUGAUGGAUGGACUCGCGGUGCAUUAGCCAGUUGGUGAGGUAACGGCUCACCAAGGCCACGAUGCAUAGCCGACCUGAGAGGGUGAUCGGCCACACUGGGACUGAGACACGGCCCAGACUCCUACGGGAGGCAGCAGUAGGGAAUCUUCGGCAAUGGACGAAAGUCUGACCGAGCAACGCCGCGUGAGUGAAGAAGGUUUUCGGAUCGUAAAACUCUGUUGUUAGAGAAGAACAAGGACGUUAGUAACUGAACGUCCCCUGACGGUAUCUAACCAGAAAGCCACGGCUAACUACGUGCCAGCAGCCGCGGUAAUACGUAGGUGGCAAGCGUUGUCCGGAUUUAUUGGGCGUAAAGCGAGCGCAGGCGGCUUCUUAAGUCUGAUGUGAAAGCCCCCGGCUCAACCGGGGAGGGUCAUUGGAAACUGGGAGACUUGAGUGCAGAAGAGGAGAGUGGAAUUCCAUGUGUAGCGGUGAAAUGCGUAGAUAUAUGGAGGAACACCAGUGGCGAAGGC
rnacentral:rRNA from 1 species